rnacentral:rRNA from 1 species
GACGAACGCUGGCGGCGUGCUUAACACAUGCAAGUCGAACGGAAAGGCCCUGCUUGCUGGGUACUCGAGUGGCGAACGGGUGAGUAACACGUGGGAGAUCUGCCCUGCACUUCGGGAUAAGCUUGGGAAACUGGGUCUAUUACCGGAUAGGAACCAUCUUUAGAGUGGUGGUUGGUAAGUUUUUUCGGUGUAGGAUGAGCUCGCGGCGUAUCAGCUUGUUGGUGGGGUAAUGGCCUACCAAGGCGGCGACGGGUAGCCGGCCUGAGAGGGUGUACAGACACAUUGGGACUGUGAGGCGGCCCAGAGUGCGGAGGGAGGCAGCAGUGGCGAAUGUUGGACAAUGGGCGCAAGCGUGAUGCAGCGACGCCGCGUGAGUGAUGAACGCCUUCGGGUUGUAAACUCCUUUGGCUAGGGACGAAGCGUUGUUGUGACGUUACCUAGAUAAGAAGCACCGGCUAACUACGUG